rnacentral:lncRNA from 1 species
UCCUUCAAGCAACAGACAUACAUCAGAAAAACUUUAAAUGGGACAGGGAAAAGUAAUUUUAUCAUAUCUUCAGUUAGCAGUGAUUAAAUAUGAUCAAAUAAGAGCACUUCAGGAAAUUACUGGCAACCUUAGAAUAGUUUACGACUGCUUCAGCCUGACUAUGCCCACCAUUUUGAGCGUCCUCCAUUGAAACCAUAUAAGGACCAUUCUGACCAAUUUGCCUCAACUGUGACGGAUCAGAUACAACUAAUUGCCUCAUAUUCAUUGAAUGCUGUCAAAAAAAGAACAUCACUCACAUUACCAUUGUUGUAUUAAUAUAGUAUUUUAGAUAAUUAUCAGAUAGAAGAAUAAAAUCUUCGAACUUAUUACUUUCAUUUGUAAAGUUAGAACCUUGAUUCUUAUGUAGUGAAAAAGGAAAACACAAUCAACUAAUAAAAGGUUCUCACAUUGCUGAUAGAACUAUAUAUACACAAAUAGUGAGAUUUCAUCAAUUUGAUUAUGAGACUUUAAUCUUUCAAUUUUAUACCAAAUAUAGUAACAAACCUAAACAACCCCAUUUCAAGAAAAUUCCAAAAUCAACUAUGAAAAUGUUUAAGCCGUUCAAAUUAUUCAGAGUCCACCCACAUUGCCGGGGCGGAGCCACCUGGGUCCCCCACUGGAUUUUGGCCCUGGGUAUUUCACCAAUGGAAAACCAAAAACUCGAGAAAUAUUGUUUAAAAAAUCACUGAUGCUAGAGAAAUAUUACCAUCAAGAAACAACAAUUCUGGAAAAAUAAAAUAAAUUAUAAGGAAUUGAGUUCAAAUUAAAUCAUUCACAACGAACAAAUCGAGUCGAUUUCAACACAUAAAGCCCGUUUUAACACUGAUACAAUCCGAUACUACCUUCCAAGUUUGGUGAUGAAGAAGUUGAGAAGAAAUCACUGGAACAUAAGAUAAAUUGGAGCCGCGCGUGAUGAAUAUAUUCCCAGAUUUUUGUGUAAUACCGUGAAAGAAAACCUAGACUGCUUUUGUGGUUGUUUUUAGUUCAGCAAAAGUGAAUCGUACCAUUCCCCACUUAGCUUAAGUCACAGCAACUACA